rnacentral:rRNA from 1 species
UACGAAGGGGGCUAGCGUUGUUCGGAAUCACUGGGCGUAAAGCGCACGUAGGCGGAUUCUUAAGUCAGGGGUGAAAUCCCGAGGCUCAACCUCGGAACCGCCUUUGAUACUGGGGAUCUCGAGUCCGGGAGAGGUGAGUGGAAUUGCGAGUGUAGAGGUGAAAUUCGUAGAUAUUCGCAAGAACACCAGUGGCGAAGGGCGGCUCACUGGCCCGAUACUGACGCUGAGGCACGAAAGCGUGGGGAGCAACAGG